UACGUAGGGUGCAAGCGUUGUCCGGAAUUAUUGGGCGUAAAGAGCGUGUAGGCGGCCCGAUUAGUCCGCUGUGAAAGUCCAGGGCUCAACCCUGGAAUGCCGGUGGAUACUGUCGGGCUAGAGUCCGGAAGGGGCGAGUGGAAUUCCUGGUGUAGCGGUGAAAUGCGCAGAUAUCAGGAGGAAUACCAAUGGCGAAGGCAGCUCGCUGGGACGUGACUGACGCUGAGACGCGAAAGCGUGGGGAGCAAACAGG
rnacentral:rRNA from 1 species